GACUUCUAACAGCUGUCAUACAUGCUUGAUCGGAGAACAGUAGUGUCACACGCGCGCCGGGCUGGAGAAGUAACAACCGCAACAGUACAUACAGGGGGAUAUAGUGCGGCUUCAUUCACAGACCACCAUGUCGACACUAUUGCUGAUCUCACUGAUGAUGUGCGUGGCGAUGGGUGGGAUCUUGCAGGCAGUCCCUGAAUGUUCACCGACGUGCUUGAAGGGUCAGGUGUGUGUCCACAAGGAUUGGGAAGACACGUGUGUGGAGAACAACGGGAACGACUUCAUGGGGAACAAUGGGGUAGGGAAAUAACACAGUACACUGCCGACUGAACAGAUCUGCGUGAUGAACAGGAUACUGGAAGAUGUACAAGUCUUACCUCUGUGUAAACGUCUUCAACGCGAGGUUCCCCUCGGAUUGGAUGUUGAAAUGAAAGAAAUAAAAUCGAAAUCUGUU